rnacentral:rRNA from 1 species
AUUGAACGCUGGCGGCAGGCUUAACACAUGCAAGUCGAACGAGCGGCGGACGGGUGAGUAAUGUAUUGGGAUCUGCCUGAUGGCGGGGGAUAAGUGCUGGAAACGGUAGCUAAUACCGCAUACGAUCCGAUGGACCCAUAUGGGAUUAGCUUGUGGGUGUGGUAAAGGCUCACCAAGCCGACGAUCUCUAGCUGGUCUGAGAGGAUGACCAGCCACACUGGGACUGAGACACGGCCCAGACUCCUACGGGAGGCAGCAGUGGGGAAUAUUGCGCAAUGGGCGCAAGCCUGACGCAGCAAUGCCGCGUGAAUGAAGAAGGCCUUCGGGUUGUAAAGUUCUUUCGGUAGCGAGGCGUUAUCUAAAGAAGAAGCACCGGCUAACUCCGUGCCAGCAGCCGCGGUAAUAC